rnacentral:lncRNA from 1 species
AGAUGUUCCUGCGUUGCAGUAGGUCCACACUGCCGGGGAGAGGUGGCAAGAGACAAAUCAACUCUAGUGGAAACGGGAAGCGAGUGGGAACAACAGCCUCACAGCAAGACCGGGGCUCAGCAGCCGCGCUCUUGGCCUGCGUUUGGUGGACCGGAAUCCGGGUUGUGUGUUUCAUUUUCUUUUUUGCCAGAAAAUAUCAUUAGGAACUAAACGGCUCUUUUUAAGAGUGUGAAAGUGUUACUCUUGCCAGUCACCAAUGAGGAGGGCGCCAAAAGCUUCCCAGAGCCAGUUCCCACAGCCAGGACUAUUCUCUAAAGCCAGAGGUCGGAAAGUUGAACAGAACGGAAGCAAAUUGCCUGGCAGAGGGAAGAGGCAUCGGGUGCCCAGGGGGUGUAGAGCGGGCGGGGGUGAUUGGAGUGUGAAACGAAUUGGUGGCCAGGGUGCCUUCUCUUGCACUUACACUAGCUGCAGUCCGCAGUUACCCAGAGGUGGUUCAACUGUUAGCUCACUCUGUGCCAGGGACAGCAUGUGGUACUGCUAUCAGCGUGCACAUUUUCAGGACACCAAAGACAAACUGUUCAAAAGAACAUUAGAAGAAAAGAUUCAAUUCGAGUAAAAGUAGAGAUAAGAAAAUCUCCACACAGUAGUAGAAAGUACUUUUUACUUUUGAAUGAUCAUUCAGAAUUGUGGUUUUGUCAUUUUCUGCCAUUCCCUUGACAAAAACUUUAUUUUGCAAUUGACUCAUUGGACUGAAUCUCACUGAGGAUCUGAUGGAAACACACAGCGUUCAAUUGGAAUAAACAGCUUAAACUGUUGUGUGUUUUUUUAAAUGUAGAUCCUCCUAGAAUUUUUGUGGCACUAGAAUUUCUAUAAAGAUUAUGUAUCCCAGAUACCCUUCUACACCACACACACACACACACACACACACACACACACGCACUGCUUUCUCCAAAAUUAUGUCAGAUUUGAAAUCCUAGGGUAUCUUGUCAAAAUGAAUAAGCUCGCUGUCUUUAAAAAGAGGUGGGGGAGGGGAGAUUCAGUGGCAAAGGUGGUCCUGACUCCCCUUGCUUCGCUUCAGCACCUUGGCCAACACUCCUAAACUAGCUUUUGCCAAGACAUUUCAUGGGAUCUUACACAUCUAGGCAGGCAGUUUUGGCUGCUAUUUUGGCAGCAAGAACGCAUGUGCUUUGCAUACUAUCCCAUCAGUUAACUCUUGAAGGGAAACAGGAAGGUGAUGAGUUCUCUGAGCUGGCACCUGAACUCGGUGGGAUUCUGUGGGUGUAGAGCAUCCCUUCUGAACCUAAAACCGUGUCAUUGGACUAUGUGGUAGAGACUAAUCUUAGCGUACAUUGAUGCAAUCCCUUAAGACUCUUCAUAUCUGUUGCUUCAAGUUCUCAAAACAUGGUUGUCAAGGGAGAAAAAUGAUAGGAUGUUGGGGAAAAUAUUAUGGAUAUCCGACUUCAGUACAGACUCAUAGAACCGCGGGUGUGUAUUGGAGCAAGCCAUCCUCUAUUGCAAGGUAUUUGAAAGAGACUAGAAACUCCUGCUGAGAAAAAGUAUCUUACUGCUAGAUUUGUAUAUUCCCCUUUCUGAAAUCCCUGUCUUGGGGACACAAAUCCUCCAGGACAUUGCCAAAAGAUUGCCAUAGGGUUUGAAUUCUGCUCUCUCCAAUAAGUUUAGGAGGGAUCCUAAGUAUCUUACAAAGAUGCAUGUGAGAUGACAACAACAAAAUAUAGUAAGGGCAGUGAAAAGUAAUAUUAGCCAGAAAAAAAAAAACAGUAUUAGGAAAGUUAGAUGUAAUCAGAUGCAACUAUCCACCCUCCAUUCUGCCUGCAUCUUGUGAACACACAGCUUUGAUCAUGAUAUAGCCCUGCCAGAAUGCUGCUAAUGUUCUUGAUUAUUGCCCUCAGAGGAUUACAUCUCACUUGGUUUCAGCCUACCUUUCUGGCAUCUAGCUUCACUUUCUAGUAUUCUCUUUCCUCCAACCUUUGCCACACUUCAGCCACUCAAGCUUCUGGGCAUUACCCAAGGAUGCCACUCAGGCCCGUGCCACCAGCUACCCAGAGGACACUUCCUUUUUUCUCUUCUUGUUCGGCUCCUGCUUGCCUUUCAAGACCCAACUAAUUUGCCCCUCUUCUGUUACCCUCUUCUGAGUCCACAGGCAGACUUAGUCUCUUCCUCUUCUGUAUUUCCAUAACACUUCUUGAAUACCUUAAUUAAUUUUUAUUGUAAUUAUUUAGUUAUUAUCUCAUUGCUUCCAGACAGAGAGUUUUAUAAUAGCUUCAUAAAUGAUUCUUGGUUAGAUGGAUGGAUAGAUGUAUAUGCAUAUGUAUGGUUUUUAAAAAAUGUUCUAACCAUAACUUGUCAAUUUUGAAAGGGUAAUGCAUUGCAAAUAUUGUAGUAAAAGGGGAGCAGUAUGGCAUUAUCCUCCUUUUUUUUUAACUGAAGGGCUUUGAAUAUUACCUAGCCUUGGAAACAAGAGCCCAGGCAUUUC